AUGAUCUCUGUUGAUAGGGCCCUUCUUGACUUAGGGCGCCUUGCUUUCCGUCGGCCCUUUGGGCCGGCGGAAUCCGCCGCCUGGCGUGAGUUGCUUGACUGCGUUGCUCUGCAUGAGCCGUUGGUGGAUGGGGAUCAGGAUCUUGUGCGCUGGCACCUGGAGCCGUCGGGCCAGUUCUCUACCAAAUCGCUAUACUUGGCCAUUGCCCCCUCCUCCGCUCCCCUCCCCCUAUCGAUGGUGUGGUCCGUCCGCAUCCCCCUGAAGAUUCGCAUCUUCAUGUGGCAGUGGAUCCGUGGACGGGUCCCGUCCGGUGUGGAGGUCCGGAAGCGUAAUGGCUCGGGCACUGGUACCUGCCCCCUCUGUGUUGUUCCCGAGGACUCCAACCACAUCUUCUUCGCCUGCGUCUCCGCCCGGUUCCUCUGGAGCUGCUUUCGUGAGAUUGUCGGUGGGAGUUGGUGCCACACCAAUUUCCCGGACUUAUUUGCUGAACUCCAAUUGUCCCCUUCGUCCUCUCGCCACAUUAGGUGGCUGGAGGUUGGGGUCCUUGCCUGGACGCUUUGGACCGUUUGCAAUAAGCUUGUGAUCCAGCGUACCCCUCUUCGUCGCGCUACUGAUGCUCUCUACAAAUUCUCGGGUUUCUUGCAGCUUUGGCGGCCGCUUAGCCGCCCCCUGGAUCGGGACGCCAUCUCAGCCUUCAUCGCCGAUCUCCGCUCGAUGGCCGUCCGCCUGUCGCCCCCGCCCCCGCCGCCUCCGCCGGAGCCUGACUAG
rnacentral:rRNA from 1 species